rnacentral:rRNA from 1 species
AUUGAACGCUGGCGGCAUGCUUUACACAUGCAAGUCGAACGGUAACAGGGUGCUUGCACCGCUGACGAGUGGCGAACGGGUGAGUAAUGCGUCGGAACGUGCCGAGUAGUGGGGGAUAACGCAGCGAAAGUUGUGCUAAUACCGCAUACGUACUGAGGUAGAAAGUGGGGGACCUUCGGGCCUCACGCUAUUCGAGCGGCCGACGUCUGAUUAGCUAGUAGGUGAGGUAAAGGCUCACCUAGGCGACGAUCAGGAGCGGGUCUGAGAGGAUGAUCAGCCACACUGGGACUGAGACACGGCCCAGACUCCGACGGGAGGCAGCAGUGGGGAAUUUUGGACAAUGGGAGAAAGCCUGAUCCAGCCAUGCCGCGUGUCUGAAGAAGGCCUUCGGGUUGUAAAGGACUUUUGUCAGGGAGGAAAUCCCUAGUGCUAAUAACACUGGGGGAUGACAGUACCUGAAGAAUAAGCACCGGCUAACUACGUGCCAGCAGCCGCCGUAACAC